CCCUCCCUCCCUACUGGAAGAUCUUUUUUAUUUUCUCUUGCUGCCUCCUAUGCUGGCAACGUCCUGCGAGUGGCUAUUUUGCUUUUGCACCGAGAGAAGAGCUUCCCCCCUCGCCCUCUCUUCUGACACUUAUGGAUGAAAUCUACACUGAUGUCUAACCUAUAAUGAGUGCCAAUGUUUUGACCUUUCAAUAGAGAGCUGAUUUUGGAGAACGGCUUACUCCUGUGAUUGAAAAACUCUCUGGAAGGUUGAUGGAGCAUGAGCAUGCUUUCUUAGGAAAAUAAGGAUUUUAGGAUUUCACUGAACAGUUUGAGUUUGUUCUUUUUUUUUUUUUUUUUUUUUCCUGUACAAAAGCAGUUACAUUCUUGUUAAUGAAAAUCAGGAUUAUAUUGCAAGGCAAAGGUAUCUAAGGCUCCCUUGUGAGAUAUUUAAAAGGUGAAAGUUUGAUGGAGUGUUCCUUGGUCUGACACAGGUUCAGAGUAUUUCUCAUAGAUUCUUAUUCAGCAAAAAAAGGUGGUUUCUGGUUCACAACUGUAAAUCAAAGGGGUUUUACAUUUAGGGCCUAAUCCUACAAACUUUAAUAUACACAAGUAGUUCUAAUGACUCACGACCAUGAAUAAGGAUUUGCAGAAUGGUAUUCUCAUUAGAUGCACACUUUCUUUCCUUUUACAAAUUUAGUAUAUAUUAAAGUAUUUAGAACUUUAAGACAAGUCUAAAUGUUUUUUUAGAAAGUGCAAAGAGUUUUGCAGUAAUGUAGUAAUUGGGUCUUUCCCAUUUACAAGCUCUAGUAUCUUUUAAGAGUGCUGCAGUUGUCAGUUAUGAUUAGAGUCCACUUAAUGUGUUGAUUUGCUCUAGAAUAUUUUUGUGCUGAAUUUUGGCCCAUAUUAAUUUUUAAUUUUCUUUUUCUAGAGCUAUUUUGUACUUGGUAUUCAACAUGAAUGUUUCUUUACCCGAAGAGUAGGUGAAACUUGCAAGAAAGGUGGUGGGGUGCAUUUGUUUUAUUUUCCUACUCUUAGCAUCUCCUAUUGUAGUUCUUAUUUAGCAAAUCAACUACUGAUUUUGUUGGAAGUUCAACCUGAAUUAAGGGCUUGCCGUGCUUGCCCCUUAAAAAUUGCUGGUGUGGCUAUUGCAAGCUGGGUGCUUGACUUUGUAAACUGUUUUGCAAUAUCUAAUUGUAAUGAGGUUGAAAAGAUAAAAAUGUGCAGACUUCUUUACUGAAGUGCUUCAGAUGUGGAACUUUUCAUGGCCACUUCUACUGUUCCUACUGUAGGUAUAACACUUGAGGCUCUGCAAGUCUUGUUAACUAAAUCAUAAUUUGAAAGCUGACAAUGCAUGCUUGUUGCUCAUCCAAAAGGAACUGUUGCAGAUUACUUUUACAGUUAGUUUAUGAUUUCUUUAAGGAUUUCUCUUGCUUUGCAAAGGCAACUGAAAUAAUUUUCCUGAAAGAGAUCUCUAGCUAUAAAUGCAACCCGUUCCUAGUUAUUACAAUACAUGUAAAAUCAACCGUUGUUUGAUAUCUUAGGCAUGACUAUUUUAAGUUUUAAAUCUGAAGCAACUGAAUUUCCUGGAUUUUGUCAGUUUAAACUAAAUCCAGCCCUACAUUAUUUUAGAAUGGAGUUUUGUAGAGUAUAAGGUUUAAAUAGACAUUAAUUUUUAUUAUUACUUCAGACAUUCAAUGAAACAUGUAUAUAGGAAGAAUUUAAGACUGACAUUCUUACACAUCAUUUUUCCUUGUCUGUUGGUAAAAUGAUCUUGCUAAGCAAUAGGAAAAGACAAGCAAAUGGCAUGGAAAUUCUUUUGGAAAAAUAGUUAAAAUAUGCUAACUGGGAUAUUUAAAUGCUUAUUCUUCUCACUCAAAUAUAAAUAUAUAAGUAAGGCAUUGCCCCCUUUUUGUUGUUAUUUUUGUCUAAUUUCAACAGAAGCCUAAGGAGGAAUUUAUGUUGACCCAUACUUUGAAGGUUUCAGUGGGGGAAUGAGAAAUGUAAUCAAAAUUAAGUGUUCAUAUGGUGUAUUGAUGGCUUCUUAAUACACCUUGGUUUAGAUUGCUGUUUGCACACUAAAAACAGGGCAUGUAUGAAGAUGCAAUUGCUAAUUGAGUAGUGCAUUUGAAUAAACAAUUGUUUCUAA